rnacentral:RNase_P_RNA from 22 species
UAGGCAUAGUAGGUGGUUGCUUUUGAUUACAAAAGAGGAAAGUCCGAGCUACAAAGACAGGAUUCCAUUUAACGAAUGGCUAGGGUAACCUAAGGGAAAGUGCAACAGAAAAUUACCGCCUUAUAGAAUCUUAAGAUCUUAAGGUAAGGGUGAAAAGGUGAGGUAAGAGCUCACCGGUCUUUCAGCAAUGUUAGGCGUCUAUGCAAACCCAAUUCGUAGCAAGAAGAAUAUGGUUAAAGUCUUAAGAUAAUAAAUUCUUCGCUUGAGAUAUGUUGUGAAACAUAUCCUAGAUAAAUAGCCACCCACGACAGAACUCGGCUUAUCGCUAUGCCUAUUUU